rnacentral:rRNA from 1 species
UACGGGGGGGGCAAGCGUUGUUCGGAAUUACUGGGCGUAAAGGGCUCGUAGGCGGCCAACUAAGUCAGACGUGAAAUCCCUCGGCUUAACCGGGGAACUGCGUCUGAUACUGGAUGGCUUGAGUUUGGGAGAGGGAUGCGGAAUUCCAGGUGUAGCGGUGAAAUGCGUAGAUAUCGGGAGGAACACCUGUGGCGAAAGCGGCGCACUGGACCAUAACUGACGCUGAUGCACGAAAGCUAGGGGAGCAAACAGG